rnacentral:rRNA from 1 species
UACGGAGGGGGCGAGCGUUAUUCGGAAUUAUUGGGAGUAAAGGGCGCGUAGGCGGCUUGAUGAGUCAAAGGUGAAAUCCCUCGGCUCAACUGAGGAACUGCCUUUGAAACUGUCUGGCUUGAGGCCGGGAGAGGGUAGCGGAAUUCCCAGUGUAGCGGUGAAAUGCGUAGAUACUGGGAGGAACACCGGUGGCGAAGGCGGCUACCUGGACCGGAACUGACGCUGAGGCGCGAAAGCGUGGGUAGCAAACAGG